ensembl:snRNA U6 U6 spliceosomal RNA
GUGCUUGCUUUGGCAGCACAUAUGCUAAAAUCGGAACAAUACAGAAAAGAUUAGUUUGGCCCCUGCACAAGAAUGACAUGCAAACUCAUGAAGCAUUCCAUAUUUUU